GUCCGAGUGGCUGAAGGAGCACGCCUGGAAAGUGUGUAUACGGCAACGUAUCGGGGGUUCGAAUCCCAUAAGCG
rnacentral:tRNA from 1 species